UACGUAGGUGGCAAGCGUUGUCCGGAUUUAUUGGGCGUAAAGCGAGCGCAGGCGGUUUUUUAAGUCUGAUGUGAAAGCCUUCGGCUCAACCGAAGAAGUGCAUCGGAAACUGGGAAACUUGAGUGCAGAAGAGGACAGUGGAACUCCAUGUGUAGCGGUGAAAUGCGUAGAUAUAUGGAAGAACACCAGUGGCGAAGGCGGCUGUCUGGUCUGUAACUGACGCUGAGGCUCGAAAGUAUGGGUAGCAAAC
rnacentral:rRNA from 1 species